CAAUAUAAAUACGAUCACCGAUCGGUGGAUUCAUCAGACGCGGAAGUAAAGAAGUGACUCGAACGUUUGUGAGCGAUUCUAAAGCAAGCCUAAAUUAGCAUCAAGAUGCCGGCACCGGGUUGUGACAAGAGCUCAGGUUCAUGCCAAGGCUGCAACUGUGGAGGAAGCUGUAAAUGCAGCAGCGGUGGAGCAGGCAGCUGCAGUUGUCCACAGGGUGGAAAAUGCUCCUGCACCGGAUGCAAAUAAGCGGCUCUCCCAGACUUUUUGGAACAAGAUUUUAUCUCGACAUAUAGAUACUAUCGCUAUUAGAAUAUAGAUUAAAUACAAUGUGUAGUAUCACAUUGUAUAGUAA